CGAAGAUAAGACGGAUUAGCGGCGGACGGGUGAGUAACACGUGAGUAACCUGCCUUUUACACAGGGAUAGCCUCGGGAAACCGGGAUUAAAACCUGAUGAAACUAUCAAAUCACAUGAUUAAGAAAGUUAAAACUCCGGUGGUAAAAGAUGGACUCGCGUCCCAUUAGCUAGUUGGUGAAGGUAACGGCCCACCAAGGCAACGAUGGGUAGCCGGCCUGAGAGGGUGAACGGCCACAUUGGAACUGAGAAACGGUCCAAACUCCUACGGGAGGCAGCAG
rnacentral:rRNA from 1 species